rnacentral:tRNA from 1 species
GGAGGGGUUCCCGAGUGGCCAAAGGGGGCAGACUGUAAAUCUGUUGGCAUCGCCUUCGAAGGUUCGAAUCCUUCUCCCUCCA